rnacentral:rRNA from 1 species
AUACGGAGGGUGCAAGCGUUAAUCGGAAUUACUGGGCGUAAAGCGUACGUAGGCGGUUAUUUAAGUCAGAUGUGAAAGCCCCGGGCUUAACUUGGGAACUGCAUUUGAAACUGGGUAACUAGAGUUUAGUAGAGGGGAGUGGAAUUUCAGGUGUAGCGGUGAAAUGCGUAGAGAUCUGAAGGAACACCAGUGGCGAAGGCGACUCCCUGGACUAAAACUGACGCUGAGGUACGAAAGCGUGGGUAGCAAACAGGAUUAGAUACCCCAGUAGUCC